AUGAGAAACACCAGAGAUGACGAAACUGUUUCAGACAGUUACUGCAGUUCUUCAAGAGAAGGAGGAGGCUUGGACAGCAGCCCCAGCAGCAGCAGGUGUGAUGGAGAGCUGGCAGGCACAAGAAGAACCAGGAGACUCCUCCAUCGGACCCUGUUAGGACUCAGCAGCCUGAGGUCGACACGCUCCCUACAUAGCUCUGGAGCUGCCCAGACGUGUCCUGGUACUAAAGCAAUGAGCUGCCUCCUCUCCAUCCCCUUGUUCCCGGCACAUGAACAUGGAGGCGUCCCAAGACGAGCCACUGCGGUAACGGUGAGGGAGACCCUGCCGCGAACUGUGACAGUGCUGGGGCCUCACCAUCUGCCCCGGUGCAUGGGGCCUGGACUGUGGGCCAAUGGGGAGCACGCACAAGUCCUCUGGGAAGAAGGCAGGCCUGGGGCAGAUGCCAGAGUUUCAGGGCUGGCCCUGCUGCUGCCUGCCAUGGGGUUACAGCCAACUGUGGGAUCUCAGGCUGCCAUGGGGUCCUGGGCUGCCUUCGAGUCUCAGGCCACUGUGGGGUCCCAGGCUGCAAUGGGGUCCCAAGCCACCAUGGGGUCCCAGGCCACCUUGGGAUUUCAGGCUACUGUCGGGUCCCAGGCUGCUGUGGGGUCCACAGGUCGCCGUGGGGUCACAGGCCACUCUGGGGUCUCAGGUUGCCGUGGGCUCUCAGGCCGCCAUGGAGUCCUGGAAUGCCAUGGGGUCCCAGGCUGCCUUGGGGUCUCAGGCUAUUGUGGGGUCAUAGGCUCCUGUAGAGUCAUGGACCACCGUGGGGUCCUGGGCCAAAGCUUCUUCUUCUCAGUAGCUGUGUACCUGCUGCAGGAUGGAGCACCCAGCCGGGGCUCACCCCAUAGCCCUGCCAGGAUGACAGGAGAUGAGGCCACCUGGAUGGUCAGUGGACAAUGACUCAGCCAGGAGAACCCAAGAGCACCACAACCACCCUCAUCCAGGGGAGAUGGUGCAGGAGGUGCUCUAGGCCCUGCGGUCCGGGAACAGACCUGAGGACAGAUCCAAGAUGCUGCACCUCAGGCACUGGAACGGGCUGCCAGGGGAGCCUGCAGGUUCACUGUCUCAGAUGUGUCGGGGGGCAAGGUGGGGGGACAACUGUCAUCCAGAGACGCUGCUGGGCAGAGACCACAUCCCUCAGGCACCUCUCAGGCUAUGCUUCCCAGGNAGGAGAUGGUGCAGGAGGUGCUCUAGGCCCCGCGGUCCGGGAACAGGCCUGAGGACAGAUCCAAGAUGCUGCGCUUCAGGCACUGGAACGGGCUGCCAGGGGAGCCUGCGGGUUCACUGUCUCAGGGUGUGUCGGGGGGCAAGGUGGGGGGACAACUGUCAUCCAGAGAUGCUGCUGGGCAGAGACCACAUCCCUCAGGCACCUCUCAGGCUAUGCUUCCCAGGCUUUAGAAGUCCAGCUCACCAAUUCAGAAGCCCUGUUCUUUUUUAAAAAAAUUGAUAAAUUAAUUAAUUAAUUUGAGAAAGAGAAAGUGCGUGAGUGGGGGGAGGGGCAGAGGGAGAGAAUCCCCAGCAGACCCUGUGCUGAGCACAGAGCCUGAUGCGCGGCUCAAUCUUACAACCCCAAGAUCCUGACCUGAGCCGGAACCAAGGGUCCGAGUGCUCCACCGUUGGAGCCACCCGAGCGCCCCCCAAAACUCCGCUAAGUUGUAUGUACGAUAAUGCAGCCGCUCGCACACUCGUCUCUCUGUGUGCANUCCCCAAGAUCCUGACCUGAGCCAGAACCAAGGGUCCGAGUGCUCCACCGUCGGAGCCACCCGAGCGCCCCUCAAAACUACACUUUCUAAGUUGUAUGUACGAUAAUGCAGCCGCUCGCACACUCGUCUCUCUGUGUGCAGUGCAUUCAAAUCAACUCUGUCAGGUUCAAGUAGGAGGAGACCCAACCUGAGCCAGGUAGACAUUACUUUAAACAUCGUUCCACAGGAAGGGUACUGGCUUUAAAUCCCCAUCCAGGGCCAUCGGACGUUGACGAAUUCCCCCAUCGUGCUGGUGAACGGGCAGGAUGCUGCCCUACAUAAUAAAUAAUCCGUAUCCCAUGGCA
rnacentral:lncRNA from 1 species